rnacentral:lncRNA from 1 species
CGUUUUGCAGUGACGAGAAUAGUCCACUAAGCACUGAGCAAUAUAUAAUCUCAUUCCUAUUUAUAGGAAUUUUUAUGUCUAUUUAUAGAGACAUCUUUUAAUAUGUGUGUUUAUGAAUAAAUAUUUGCAAAUGUUUCAACAAGAUAGAGGGGGAUGAACUUAAAAACUGCAAGGCUUCAUGGUUCCCAUACCCCAACCUUCCUCUUCCUAUCCUAUGAAUUUUGUAAACUGG